rnacentral:rRNA from 1 species
AUUGAACGCUGGCGGCAUGCCUUACACAUGCAAGUCGAACGGCAGCACGGGAGCAAUCCUGGUGGCGAGUGGCGAACGGGUGAGUAAUAUAUCGGAACGUGCCCAGUCGUGGGGGAUAACGUAGCGAAAGCUACGCUAAUACCGCAUACGAUCUAUGGAUGAAAGCGGGGGAUCGCAAGACCUCGCGCGAUGGGAGCGGCCGAUAGCAGAUUAGGUAGUUGGUGAGGGAAAGGCUAACCAAGCCGACGAUCUGUAGCUGGUCUGAGAGGACGACCAGCCACACUGGGACGUAGAAACGGCCGAGACUCCUACGGGAGGCAGCAGUGGGGAAUUUUGGACAAUGGGCGCAAGCCUGAUCCAGAAAUGCCGCGUGCAGGAUGAAGGCCUUCGGGUUGUAAACUGCUUUUGUACGGAACGAAACGGCGAGCUCUAAUACAGUUUGCUAAUGACGGUACCGUAAGAAUAAGCACCGGCUAACUACGUGCCAGCAGCCGCCGUAA